rnacentral:snRNA from 1 species
GGAUGUGAGGGCGAUCUGGCUGCCACAUCUGUCACCCCAUUGAUCGCCAGGGUUGAUUCGGCUGAUCUGGCUGGCUAGGCGGGUGUCCCCCUCCUCCCUCACCGAUCCAUGUGCAUCCCUCCGGAAGCUGCGCGCUCAGUCGAAGAGGACGACCUCCCCCACCCCACACACACCCCCCCCAGGAGAGGAUCGGUCUUCGGUCAAGGGCCUACGAGUAGCUGCGCUCCCCUGCUAGAACCUCCAAACAAGCUCUCAAGGUCCAAAGGAGGCAUGCAUAUAAAUGUAACAUGGCAACCUAGAUA